GUAAUUAGCUGGCAGGGGAGAUACCAUGAUCAUGAAGGUGGCUUUCCUAGGAUUAGGCUCAUCCAUUCCAAUCCAGAUAUGCUGACUCUUGCAAUUUCCUUAAAUGCGGGGACCUUCAAUGCAUAGUUUGUGGAGGUUGGUGAAGCAGUGGGGAGGGAGGGGGUGUUCAUGUU
ensembl:snRNA U1 U1 spliceosomal RNA